CCUACGGGAGGCAGCAGUGGGGGAUAUUGCACAAUGGGGGAAACCCUGAUGCAGCGACGCCGCGUGGGCGAAGAAGUAUUUCGGUAUGUAAAGCCCUAUCAGCAGGGAAGAAGAAAUGACGGUACCUGAGUAAGAAGCACCGGCUAAAUACGUGCCAGCAGCCGCGGUAAUAAGUAUGGUGCAAGCGUUAUACGGAUUUACUGGGUGGAAAGGGAGCGCAGGCGGCACGGCAAGCCUGAUGUGAAAGCCCGCGGCCCAACCGCGGGACUGCAUUGGGAACUACCGGGCUGGAGUGCCGGAGAGGUAGGCGGAAUUCCUAGUGUAGCGGUGAAAUGCGUAGAUAUUAGGAGGAACACCAGUGGCGAAGGCGGCCUACUGGACGGUGACUGACGCUGAGGCUCGAAAGCGUGGGGAGCAAACAGGAUUAGAUACCCCAGUAGUC
rnacentral:rRNA from 1 species